CCUACGGGUGGCAGCAGUGGGGAAUAUUGCACAAUGGGCGAAAGCCUGAUGCAGCAACGCCGCGUGAAGGAAGAAGGGUUUCGGCUCGUAAACUUCUAUCAACAGGGACGUAAGAAAUGACGGUACCUGAAUUUGAAGCCUCGUCUAACUACGUGCCAGCAGCCGCGGUAAUACGUCGGGGGCAAGCGUUAUCCGGAAUUAUUGGGUUAAAGGGGUGCGUAGGCGGACUGUUAAGUAAGCGGUAAAAGCACGGGGCUAAACCCCGGCGAGCCGUUGAAACUGGCUGUCUUGAAAUGUCGAGAGGUAUGCGGAAUGCGCAGUGUAGCGGUGAAAUGCUUAGAUAUUACGCAGAACUCCGAUUGCGAAGGCAGCAUACCGACGGCGAUCUGACGCUGAGGCACGAAAGCGUGGGUAUCGAACAGGAUUAGAUACCCUUGUAGUC
rnacentral:rRNA from 1 species